UUUAAACAUCUGUACAGGCUCUGAUAAAACCACUUCUUCGGGCAGAGAAUUCCACAGUUCUUACGGUAAAAAACAAAACCUUUUCUUUGCCUUAGACUAAAUUUUCUUUCUUCCAGUCUAAAUGCAUGACCCUGUGUCCUUUGUAUAGUCCUGUUUGUGAAUAGAUAUCCAGACAAUGGUUUGCAUUGGCCCCAGAUAUAUUUGUAUAAUGUUAUAAUUUCCCGUCUGAGGCGCCGUUUUUCUAAAUUAAAGAGGUUUAUAUUUGUUAACCUUUCUUCAUAGCUAAAAUGUUCCAUUUGUAGCCUGCCUCUGCACUUCUUCUAGUGCCAUAAUAUCCUUCUUUAGAAAACAUGCCCAAAAUUGCACAGCAUAUGCAAUAUGUGCUCUUACCAGUGAUUUAUAAAGAGGCAAAAUUAUAUUCUCAUCCCGAGAAUUAUUGCCCUUUGUCAUACAUGACAAUACCUUACUGGCCUUAGCCACUGCUGAUUGACAUUGCACAUCGUUGCCUAUUUUGUUGUCCAUAACAAUUCCCAAAUCUUUCUCGUGUGUUGUUAUCCCUAAUUCACUACAAUUUAGCGCAGGGCUGUCCAACCUGCGGCCCUCCAGAUGUUGCUGAACUACAGCUCCCAUGAUUCUUUCAAUGAAACAGCCAGGGAAUCAUGGGAAUUGUAUUUCAACAUCUGGGGGGCCGCAGGUUGGACAGCCCUGAUUUACCGUAUAAGUUGCUUGUGCAUUCUUUACUCCGAAGUGCAUAACUUUGCAUUUUUCUACAUUAAAUUCCAUCUGCCAUUUUGAGUGCCCAGUCCCCCAGUCUAUCUAAAUCCCUCUGCA